UUCUAUACUAAACUUAACGAUAUUGUGAAUUCAAGGUUUAAUGUCGGCAAGAAGGUGGAGGAUUCAAGGGUUGUGAGAAAGAUUUUAAGGUCCUUGCUUGAAAGAUUUCGUCCGAAAGUUACAUUUAUUGAGGAAAAAAACAAAGAUUUUG